GUUAGAUUUUAAUUUUUAUAACUAAAAGUUUUAUUUUAGCUGGAUUAAUAAGUAUUUAAUUUAUUUAUAUGUAAAUUUUAGUGGGGGUAAAUUUUAAUUUUAGAGAGAUUAAGAUUAAUUAAAGAUUUGCAGUAUAUAAUUUUAAAAUUAGAAGAAAUUUUGAUUUAGAAAUUUAUUUAAAUAUUAACAAAAAUUGUGCCAGCAGUUGCGGUUAUACAAUUAAUAUUAUUUAUUAUUUUAAAUUAGUAAUUAAAAGUAAUUUUUUUUUAUUAAUGAUAUUAAAUUAUUAGGUGAAAUUUUUAAUUUAUUAUUUAAUAAAUUUUUGUGUUUGAAGUUAUUAAAUUUUUUUAAGGACUAGGAUUAGAUACCCUAUUAUAAAAAUGUAAAUAUUUAGUAUUGGAUUAAUAAAAGUUAUAGUCUUUAAAAUUAAAAAAUUUGGCGGUAUUUUAGUCUAUUCAGAGGAACCUGUUCUAUAAUUGAUAGUCCACGAUUUGUAUGUAUUUAUAUUUAAAGUUUAUAUAUCGUUGUAGUUGAAUAUUUUUUUAGAAUUUAAAUAUUCAAUAUUUUUUAUUAAAAAAUAAAUCAAAUCAAGGUGUAGCUUAUAUAUAAAAAGAAAUGGGUUACAAUAAUUUAUGGUUAUGGAUAUUUAAUUUUGAAUUAAUUUGAAAUUGGAUUUGAUAGUAAUUUUUUUUUGUAUAUUAAAUAUGAUUAAAGCUCUAAAAUAUGCACAUAUUGCCCGUCGCUUUCAAAUAAAUUGAAAUAAGUCGUAACAAAGUAAAUGUACUGGAAAGUGUAUUUAGUUGG
rnacentral:ncRNA from 1 species